UACAGAGGUCUCGAGCGCUGUUCGGAUUCAUUGGGCGUAAAGGGCGCGUAGGCGGCGGGGUAAGUCUGGUGUGAAAUCUCGGAGCUCAACUCUGAAAUUGCACUGGAUACUGCUCUGCUAGAGGGCUGGAGAGGAGAUCGGAAUUCACGGUGUAGCAGUGAAAUGCGUAGAUAUCGGUAGGAACACCAGUGGCGAAGGCGGUCUCCUGGGGCAUUCUUGACGCUGAGGCGCGAAAGCUGGGGGAGCAAACGGG
rnacentral:rRNA from 1 species